rnacentral:rRNA from 1 species
AUUGAACGCUGGCGGCAUGCCUUACACAUGCAAGUCGAACGGUAACGGGCCUUCGGGUGCCGACGAGUGGCGAACGGGUGAGUAAUGUAUCGGAACGUACCUUUCAGUGGGGGAUAACGUAGCGAAAGUUACGCUAAUACCGCAUAUUCGGUGAGCAGGAAAGCAGGGGAUCGCAAGACCUUGCGCUGAUUGAGCGGCCGAUAUCAGAUUAGCUAGUUGGUGAGGUAAAGGCUCACCAAGGCGACGAUCUGUAGCGGGUCUGAGAGGAUGAUCCGCCCCACUGGAACUGAGACACGGUCCAGACUCCUACGGGAGGCAGCAGUGGGGAAUUUUGGACAAUGGGGGCAACCCUGAUCCAGCCAUGCCGCGUGAGUGAAGAAGGCCUUCGGGUUGUAAAGCUCUUUCGGCCGGGAAGAAAUCGUAUCAGCUAAUACCUGGUGCGGAUGACGGUACCGGCAUAAGAGGCACCGGCUAACUACGUGCCAGCCGCCGCAGUAAGAC